UCAUAAAUAUGAACCAGUUGCCAAGCAUUUGAAUUUUGAUCACCUGCAAUGGUCAUAACUGUGAAAAACGGUCAUAAUCCACCUUUUUCAGUGGUGUAACUUUGAACAGACACUAAAUGAACUGUUAUAACUACUUGUAGGACUACUUGUAUUAAAAUGUUUACGAUUUACAAUUUUAUUCAACUGCCAUUAAAGAUAAUAGCAAAAGAACUUAUGAAAUAAUGUAUUUCAGUGUGUUUUAGAAUGCUAAUCAAUUAGAUAUGUACUAAGACUUAUUUUCAAAUGCAUUUCAUGUGUUUUCAACUAUACUGUUCCAAAGGCAAAUAAUUUCUUCUGAAAUGUAAUAGAUUUUAGAGUUAAACUGAAUUAUUGAUUUCAAAUAAAUUGGGAGCAUAAUAUCAGAGGUUUUAAAAAAUAUUUUCUUUCCACAAAUAAUGUUUUCUGUCUUAGUAUGACCUAAACCUUUUCAGACAACGUUCCUGCUGGAGGAAGUAAGAGACGUUAUUUUCAUCAAUUCUUUCUUUUCUUUCCUUGAUUGAGUGAUUACAUAUCACGAAGUCAGUGCUGACGACUAGUGAGCCUAUGGUUAGAUUGUCUCCAGGAUGAUCUGUUCCUCACCUGGCCAUGCACACAUCAUGCAUUGGUGUAUCCAUCAUUGCUAUAACUGAGUUCAUUUACCUUGUUGCUGAAUAUCCUUUUCUUCACUUUUAUUCCACCUUGCUUAGAACUAUGGAGUUUUCAAGGAAUCUGGGUUUUUGUAUUAUCUAUCCAAAAUACAAUAAUUUGAGCCUAGUCAUUUGUGACCAUAUUCUUCUAUGAUUAGGGGAGUCCUUGGAAACAAUGUGGGAGUUCAUGUAGAAGUUUAAAGCAUAUUGACAAAUACUCUCUCCCCCACCUUUCUUCAGUGGGAUCCUCCUCUAUGUAUGUCUUGAGGCAGAAAUUCAAUCUCUUUUUGUGUAUAAAUAUGCAUGCUUAAGUCUGCCAGCUUCAUUCAAACUAAGUUUUCAUAAUGAGAUCAAAGUAUAAGUUGUCUCUUUUUUCUUCCUCUGAUUAAUUGUAGAAGAGUUAAAAGGUGAAUGUUAUUGAAAAAGGAUUAUACUACUGUAAUGCUUGGGGAUUAUUCAUGAUGUGUACAAAAUUGGCAAAAGACAAGCCUUACAAAUUUCCCUUAUACUUUAUUUCAUACAGGAAAGAAAUCUUAACUACUGCUUUACAGGAGGUGUUGAUUUUUCUGGACCAACAAUAUAUUAUAAAAUGAGUAUAAGUAAGGAGAUGUUCAAGAAUUAUUUUAUAGAACAAGUUACACAAGUAUUCCUGCAUCUGCCUAAGUUCCCUUUGUCUUCUGGGAACCAUUUACAAUGCUGGGAGUUGGCAUAACUGCUAUCGCUAAUAUCUCAUCAGAAUUCUAAAAAACAGUUAAAAAUAACCUUUAUAGCAGGGGUGGGCAACCUAUAGUCAAUCAUAACAUACUAGUAAUAACAUGUAAGUGUUAUGAAAGAUUCAUUUCACAUAUUAGGACAAAUGGCUUUUCAGGGUUGGAAAAAUCUGUUUGCUCUAAUAUCUAGAGCGCCGACAUGGCCAUGGUUAAAAUUAGAGUAGGAGAUCCAGGUCCAGCCCACUUUCAGGCAUGGAAAUUCACUAGGUGAAUUUGGGAGUAGUUUAAUUUUGGGAGAAAUUUGAAGGAAAGAGAUUUAGCUGUAUUGCCUUGAGCUCAUGGAAAAAAGGUGGGAUAUAUAUUAAACAAAUACCACUGAACACAUAAAUGAAAAUUCUGGUUACAGGAAUUUUGCUGAAAAGUUACCAGUGAAAAAAAAAAGACAAUUAUGGAACCAGAUAGGACAAUCAUGAUCUCCACUAUUCUAUCCAAGACUAACAGCAGAAAAUAUUAGGAUUUAUGGAUUUUUUCCCCUAUGCUGUACUUCCUUACGUGGAGGAGAAAAGUGAGAUGUAGCAGGAGGUAUUUGUAAAGGUGAAAUAAUUGCCUUUAAACAUCAAAUGUAGUUACUUCCCAGAUAUAUCAAUGCAUUUAUCAAAGGGAUUCCAGACAUUUAACUGCAAUCAUUUCUUCUGCUUCUCAAAUAUUGAAAGCUAAUUGAUAGCAGGAUGGACUUCUCUUUCUUAAUUCAUUCCUUAAUUUGUUACUGAAGAUCGGAAAAGCCAAGAUUUGGAAGAUACAUGGAACUAUGCAAAAGAGAUGGGGAGGACAGUAAAGAGAAACCCUAAUUGUUCAAGCAGACAACUGCUUGGAUGACAUUGAGUAGCUUAUGGUGUCUUACUCCUUGCAAAAUCACAGUUUGGCUUCUUGGGACUAAAUGAGACAGAGGAGCAUUGCCUCAAUUAUCUCAAUAAGAGCUUACCUCCAAAAGGAGACAUGGGGGGAGGGGCGGAACCUGUAGGAAAAAGGUAGAGUCUAAUACAUUCUUAUCCUCCAUCAUUCCUACAAAACAAUACCACUUCUGCUGCUGACCCUUUAUAUUUCUGCUGGUUCCUCACUGGGAGGUUUCCAAGAGGUUUACCUUGCAUUCCAAUGUACCACAGAGUGUGUUGUACCUCUUACUCCGCUAUGUCUUUUUACUCUUUCAAUCCCAGGACAUAUCUCCAUUGAAGUCUUAACAUUUGGUCUCUCAUUCUUGUCUCAUCCAGGUGAGGUAGUAGAAAUGCUUAAUCAAGGUUUGGUUGCUGUAAUCAUCUGAAAGAGGGCCAAUAAUCUGCAGUUCAAACCAGACAAGGCAGAAGUGCUAAUUGAUCUUGGGAAUGUGAAGACCAGCUACUUGCUGUGUUGUACGCUGACAGAAAUUGAGAAGAUAAAGAAAGGCCUGCUCCAAGUGCUCACACAUGCGGGCAAUGUGAGAUUAGGCAAAGACUUGUUGAAUGUUUUAAGUAAUCACCUCUUGUUUAGUUUUUUUAAAAAAUUCCUAAAUCUUUUUUUUUUUUUGCAUUUUCAUUGCCAUGUUGCUUUAAUUCAUUAUUAUUUUAUUGUCACUUUUAUUGCACUCCAAGGACUUCUGCUGUAGGAUAAUGUAAUGAUGAUUAUAUUACAUGACUAUCAUGAUUACAUGAUUACCAGAUGGUUUACAUCCCAGGGUACUGAAGGAGCUGGCAGAUGAGAUCUCGGAACCACUAAAUAAAAUCUUUUAGAGCUCCUGGAGCAGAGGGGAAACUGCCAGAGGCCUGGAAAAGAGCUGAUGUGGUUCAAAUCUUCAAAAAGAGGGAAAAGUGGAACCAGGAAACUACAGACCAAUCAGCUUGACAUCAAUACCUGGGAAAAUCCUGGAAAAGAUAAUCAAGCAGCAGAUUUGUGAGCAUCUGGAAGUGAACAAGGCAAAUCAUCUAUCUUCCUGAAUCAGGCAUUGUUUUUACUGGAUGAUACUGGAUCCUCAACCCUGAUUAUAGCAUUCUGCACAAGAUGUCAUAUUUGCCUUUCCUUUCUUUAUAUGCUUUCACUGAAACAAUGUUAGCAAUUUGUGUUUUAUAAGGAUUCAUGUGGGGAAUUCUGCAGUGGGACACUUGUGAGACUUACUGGUGAUAGCACUUCAGAGAUCACUUUAUUUCAUGGAAGCCUCCUUCUGUCAUGGUCACCUAAUGUGUGAAUGCUGCUAAUAAAAAUGAUACUAAAUACAUUUUUUUAAAAAAAAUAUUGAAGUCUAUUUCUUUGAAUACAUAUUAUGGUGUAUCAUUUUAACAAAUGGGCAAAUGAUGCAUCAUAUUAAAUAUGGACAAAAUUCAACAGCAUCCCUGAAAAUAUGGAAAAGAUGCAUAGGCCUGAAAUGAUCUUUUCUUUACAUCCCAAAUGUCAGAUCUUUUGUACAAAAAUGCACCCAGUUAAUUUUUCCCCAGUCCUUUAUCAUUCAGCUAUUGGAACAUUGGGAAACUACAAAAUGAUUUUCUGAUCUGCUGAUUAAUCUUCACCAAAAGGGAGAGAAGGACACAAAGGGAAAGAAAGAAAAUUCAAGGCCUAGUACGCAAAUGUAAGAAAAUGACAAUCUUUUCCUGAUAUGGCUUUUAUCUAAGAGAUGGCCAUCUGCCCUGAAACAAGAACUUUCUUUUAAAAUUCUUUUAAUAUGAAUAAUUUCUCUUAUAAAAUAAAAUUAGCACAACAUAUCCUAUGUUCUUUAUAUUUUGACAAAGUACUCAAGAAACUUACAGGUAGUCCUCAACCUAUAACAGUUCAUUUAAUGAGUGUUUAAGGUUUUUAUGAUGGUUUUUCACACUUGUAACUGUUGCAACUUCCCCUUCUUACAAGCAAAGUCAAUGGGGAAGCCAAAUUAACUUUACAGAUGUAUUACUAACUUAACAACUGCAGCGAUUCACUUAAUAAUUGUGGCAAGAAAGGUUGUAAAAUGGAGAAAAUUCAUUUAACAACUGUUUUGCUUAGCAACAAAAAGUUUGGGCUCAACUGUGGUCUUUAAGUCAAGGACUACCAUAGCAAUCCUAUGCAGCCACAGUAAAAAGCAAAUAAUCAACCAAGCAGGAACAGGAUGGGAUAACCAGCAUCUCUGAUAAUUUUGCUGACCUUUAAACAAAUAGGAGAUAACCCACUAAUGGCAUGAACCCCUUAUUGUUUCCUGAUCCCAAGAUACAUGUAAAAAAUCUGGUCUGUACCUCCCCUUAUUGAAAGCACACAAAUGUUUUGGAUCUCUCCAUGGUUAUGAAAGAAAAUGAAUUCACAUCUCACUGAAUUGAACAUUGUCCUGAAAUUUUUUUCCAGAGAAGAGUCAGAGAAAAGCAUGGAAAACCAUUCCAGUACAAACAAUCGGCCAAAUCACAUACAGAACCCAAAAAUUCAGUCACUACUGUAACCAAGCUGCUAUGCACACAAUAUAUACUUUGAAACAACUCAGUAGGAAAGCAUAAGGGAACAUAGAUCCAAAACUGGGAAUUAAAUUUCAUUUCCUAGCCACAGAAAAAUGUCAGUAAGACAGUGCUUAAAUAGCUUUCAGCAACGUGUACAGUACUAAAGGGAAAACAGUUGCAACAAGAGUGGAAUCAUACAUUUCUACUACAAAAGUAACUUUAUAACAAUGACUCAAUAGAGGUUCAUGUUUAUCAUGAUCUAUCUUGAAGUCUCCCAAUACUGAGAGUUAUCAUGGAGCUUUAACUAAAUAAAAUAUCUUUAUUUAUUUAUUAAAUGAUUAAAACCACUUAUCUCCUUCACAGGAGUAGAUCAUCAUUUUUUUUCUGGCUUGCUUAAAAUUCCUUUAAUUACCACUAGUGUGAAUAUUAUAGAUCCCCCCCCAAAAAAAAACUGAAUUGAAGAAAUUACUGGUUCAUCUUUCACAUGCCUGUGUGCACACACACAUAUGCAACACACGCACAUAGAAUAAAAAUGUCUCUCCAGCAAAGAGUGGAUUGUUCAUAUAGAAUGGCGUAGCAUUUUGUAUUUGAUUCCAAAAAGAUGCUUUGCAAUUGUUAGGGGUACAAAUGCAGCAGCUGCCUGCGAUUCUGUAGAGCAGCUGCAUGUUUUCCUGGGAUCAACAACCCCUGCACACUCAAAAAUGAUGGGGCUAAAGUAGUUUAAAUCCACAUUUUUUAAUUUCCUUGGUUUGUAUAUGAACAGGGCAUGACUUCCUCUUCUAACUCCAAAGAAAUAGAUUCAGUUCAAAAGAAUGGCACUCGCCUUUAAAUGAUGUGGACAGUAUGGAACGUAAGUCACAAAUGAUAAAAAUAAAAUUUGACAACUUUUGCUGAACCUAUGAACAAAGUUGUCAAAUACAAUUAGAAUCCGAAUUCAAAUCCACAUUGGCUGGAUUUAUGAAGUUUGAUCUUGCUCACAGAUACUCAUUCCUGCUCUAAUCGUGAUGUUGGCAGAAGUAAAAGUUCAAAAACUUUAUCUUGGAUAGAAUAUGGCAUGCUGCUUCAGAAUCCAAUGUGAUGCUGCAUUAUGGAAAGGUGUUAUUUCAGGUUCUAAUGAAAGAAAUAACGUCUAUACCAAAAGUGAACUUGCCAGAUAAUUGGACCUUAUUAUAAGAACAGCUGUUUCCCACAUCAAAGCUGGCAAAACUGAGAUUUUUAUAAUCUCUGUUACAUAAACCUAAUGAAUCUUAAUUGAGCUUUAUCAGUCAAGAAUCACUGGUGUAUGCUGGUAAAUUCCUUAAUUAUAUAUAUAUAUAUCUCCUUGGACGGUGCAGCUUAUAAAGAUGUAAAGCUUUCUAGAAAUAUUGCAGAUAGGUUGGAAGGGGUAGAAGAAAGGUGGGAGGGACACCUGGAAAUUUUGUAAAAAAUAAAUAAAAAUCAAACAAGUGUUUGUAAAAAAAAAAAAGGUAUUUUUUUAACAGAUCAUUUGGGAAGCUGAAAAGGUUUCAGUACUGGAAUAUGUAUACUUUAAUGCUUUAUGUAUCAACCUUAAAGAAAAUAAUUCAAAGUUCCUUAAUUUGUCAAUUUAAUUGUUAUGGCAAAAAAAAAAAUAUACGAUGAAAAUUGACAGGAAAAGGUGUUUUAAAGCAGGGGUCUCCAACCUUGGCAACUUUAAGAUUUGUGCUUCACUGGCUGAGGAACACUGGGAGUUGGAAGUCCACAGGUCUUAAAGAAGACUUCUUUUAAAGAGUUCUUUAACUCAUACACACCCCAGCAUUUUUGGUUUUUUUUUAAUGGUUUUCCAGCCUAAGAUUAAAGGGAGACUCCCUUUAUCAAAUAAUUACAUAGAAGGGGAAAGUGUAUAGGUGCAGAACACCAUGCAAAUGUCAAAACAAAAUAAAACCUUAUAGCAUCUCAAAAGUAUUUAUUGCAUGUAUAAAUAAAUAUAUGUAUGUAAAAUGUAUGUAUGUAAAAUGUAUAUGUAUUCAUUAGUUAUUUAUUUUUGUACUUCACUUAAGAGAUAGAAGCACUGUCCACUUUGAUAUCAGUGAUUUUUCUUUACCCUUGUCAGGCCUCUCCUUCUGUUCUACCACCAGUUUUGCUAUAAUAGCAAUAGCUGUGUUCUACUGCCAACAUGGAGAUGUUAUAUAUGUAAUACUGCUAAUACUUGUAUUCUCAGCAUUGACAUUUUCAGCCUUAGUAACUGGUGUUAGUCUUGAAUAAAAAAGAAUAGAAGUAGUACUGCUUUGGAUUGCAUAAUAAUAAACCAU